CUGUUUCCUCACCUGCCUAGUGGGGUAAUACCGUUUGGCACCGUGUUGAUUUAUGGGGACUUUACCCAGGCAGAUUAGGUAAUGGAGUGGCAUUCCCUAAGAAAAAGAAAGCCUGUUUAUUUUAUAGUGCACAAGCAACAAUCUUUAUUUACUGUUUACUAUCCACUGGGCCCCUGAAACUUCAGGUGAGAGAGAAGAAAAUACCUCCUUUCCCCUAAUCGACUCUUGUUCAUUUUAGGGGGCACUUCUUGGGUCUCCCUAACAAAUUGGUGUUUUAAUACUUCCUCCUCCUGGGCUAUUUGCAUUAAAAACAAUAAAAAGGACUGGAGGCCAACACUCACUCCUAGGGUGGUGGGGCUUGUGUCUGGAUGUCCCUGAGGCCACUUACUAACCACAGAUCUUAAGGGAACAAUUCAACCCAUCUGAGUCUGUUUCCUUUUCUGAAAAACAGGAAUAAGAACACCAUCUCCUGCAGAAUGGUCAAGAUGAGAGACAAUGUAUACAGCUUAUACUACAGCGCUGGGCACUCAGUAGCACCUAGGAUCAUGGCCCCAGAAAGCAGAGCAGUCUUCCAGAUCCCCUCUAGUCACACCGAUGACAAGAACCAGCUGGUGGCAGUGGAGGGGCUGGGAUGCUGGAGGACCCAGAGGGGAAUGAAGCUGACAGGAUCACCGGGCUAAUUUAAUUGGCUGGGCAACCUGAGAAGAAGGGAGAAAGCUUUGUAAAGAAAAUGGAUUUAGCAAGGACAAAACAACGUUUACAAUAUGGCUCCUGGGGCAGCUUCAACAUGCCGAGCUCAAGAAGUUCCAUGCUC